rnacentral:rRNA from 1 species
ACGGAAGGCAGCAGUGGGGAAUAUUGGGCAAUGGGGGAAACCCUGACCAGCAACGCCGCGUGAAGGAAGAAGGCCUUCGGGUUGUAAACUUCUUUUACCAGGGACGAAUAAUGACGGUACCUGGAGAAAAAGCAACGGCUAACUACGUGCCAGCAGCCGCGGUAAUACGUAGGUUGCAAGCGUUGUCCGGAUUUACUGGGUGUAAAGGGCGUGUAGGCGGAGCUGCAAGUCUGAUGUGAAAUCCCGGGGCUCAACCCCGGAACUGCAUUUGAAACUGUAGCCCUUGAGUAUCGGAGAGGCAAGCGGAAUUCCUAGUGUAGCGGUGAAAUGCGUAGAUAUUAGGAGGAACACCAGUGGCGAAGGCGGCUUGCUGGACGACAACUGACGCUGAGGCGCGAAAGCGUGGGGAGCAAACAGGAUUAGAUACCCUGGUA